CCGCCCGUAGCUCAACUGGAUAGAGUAUCGGGCUUCGAUCCCGAAGGUUGCAGGUUCGAGUCCUGCCGGGCGGGCCA
rnacentral:tRNA from 1 species